UUGCCAGGCUGCAGAGAAUCCAGUCACCAAUCUAUACAGGCCCACUAGUUGCCUGAGGGCUUGUUGUUGGGUGGGGCCAGUCUCUAGGGUGGGCUGCUUGCCCUGGCUGAGCUGGAUUAAAUCGGUGCUCUAGUGGGUGGGGCAGACCUGGGCUAGCAGGCCCCAGGGAGAACUCCAAUGGUGUCUGUGUCAGCACGCCCACACCAGGCCACAACAAUGGCCGCCGCCAAUGUCCCAGUCCCUGGAGAGAUCUCACCCUCACCGAGAUGCACUCAGGGCCUAUUAGGUGGAGCUGCUCUGAAGCCAUUCUCAACAUGCACAGGCAGUGUUUUGAAAAGCUUAGGCCUUUGAGAGAAUUAGGUCAAACUAUCCACAAGGAAGCCCUGGGGACUAUACAAGAGGAGUUCCAGUUCAAAAUGGCACCAUAGGAAGCUCCUACACUUACCUCCUCUCAUAGACACACCAAAUCUACAGCUACACAGGGAGCAAUUUCCUCUGAAAGAAAUCCAGAAACUAGCUGAGCAACUUCUACACAUUGGGCAAGCAAGAAACUACUAACAAAUAAAUGGAUAGGAAAGGCUGAGACAUGCUCUGGCCAUAAACCCCACCCCACCCCAGCAAAAUAUAAUCAGGAGAAAACUCACAACUCUCGGCUUCUCCCUGAAGGGUAAAGGGUUUGGACCCAACAUCAAGUAUCCCAAAUUUUAAGACUUCCACCUGAGAGGCCCCCUAAACGCUAGCUCCAAAAGCCAAAGGGAUUUGCAUCCACGAGACCCACAUGACUAUAGCAAGCAAAGAAAGAGUUCCUAACAGGCUCCUCAAGACUCACUGUGGCUAUCUCCCCAGGGCUCAGCACAGAGGUUACAGACAGACACAUCCAACUCCCAGUCUUUCCCUGACAGAGGUUUAUUUACAUAUUGUAAAAGCUGCUGCCUGAGGGUCAGGCUUCUAAUUUAGCACACAUCUAGGGGCUGACCCCGAUCUUUCCUGGAAAUCAGGGAUGCCAGGGGGUGCCAUCUCCAUGUUAUCCCCCUGGCCUGCUCCAGGUCACCAGUGUCGCCCAGGAAAAAGCUUGUGCACGUGGCUGACACCCUGGUUUAUGUGGCUGCCACCUGAGCAUGCACCUGUUGAUCUCCUGGCUCUGGUGGCCAGAGGGGCUUGUGUUCAUGGGUCCCACAGGAUUGUAGCAAACAAAGAAAUGGGGCAGUGGAAUUCAUCCGAUCAAAGGAGUAAAAAGAAAAAAAGAGUGAAAAUAUCGUAGGGGAUUUAUAGGACACUAUGAAGUGGACAAAUAUUUGCAUUAUAAGGGUCGCAGAAGGAGAAGAGAGUGAGAAAGGGUCAGAAGACUUAUUCAAAGGAAUAAUGGCUGAAAACUUCCCUAACCUGGGGAAAGAAACAGACAUCCAGAUCCAGGAAGCCCAGAAACUUCCAAAAAAGAUGAAUCUAAAGAGACCCACACCAAGACACAUUAUAAUUAAACUGCCAAAAUUAAAGACAAGGAGAGAAUCUUAAAAGCAGCAAAAGAAAAACAACUUUUGUUACCUGCAAGUGAACAGAAUGACUAUUAUCAAAAAGACAAGAAAUAUCAAGUGUUGGCGAGGACAUGGAGAAAAUGAAACCCUUGUGCACUGUUGGUGGAAAUGUAAAUUUGUGCAACCACUAUGGAAAACAGUAUGGAGGUUCCUGAAAAGUUAAAAAUAGAACUACCAUGUGAUCCAG